GGAUGAGCCGGUGGUUAGAGGAUGAGCAGGUGGUUAGGGUAGUGAGGAGCAGCUGGUGGUUAGAGGAUGAGCCGGUGGUUAGGGUAGUGAGGAGCAGCUGGUGGUUAGAUGAGCCAGUGGUUAGGGUAGUGAGGAGCAGCUGGUGGUUAGAGGAUGAGCCGGUGGUUAGAGAGUGGCGAGGAGCAGCUGGUGGUUAGAGGAUGAGCAGGUGGUUAGGGUAGUGAGGAGCAGCUGGUGGUUAGAGG